CUUCUUACUUCAGCCAUGGAAGAAAGAGCUCUCCUCCAGAGCCUCUGUCUCCUCCAAAUUCUUCUUUUUUUUUUCCCCGAGUGCUGUUGUGGGUGUGAAUGCAAACUGGCUGAGGGUAAACUUGGUGCGAGCCCCCUGGCUUUAAUCUACAUGCAGAUAUCUUUGAUGUGCUGUCUUGGGAGCAACGGAAGGAAUUACUCAGCCAACCUCAGAGCUCAUUGCUCAUGGCCAAGGUGACUGCACCUGCGUAAGGUGAAACGUUCUCUCGGCGUCCUGUGAACUCGGGCGGCGAGGGAGCCGCUUGUCACAGUUGAUCGGCUCGCAAUUCAAUAUGAUUGACCCGGGCAGGAAAUCUUUAAGUUGCUCAUGCAUGGAUGGAGAAGGGGAGACGGCGGCACAUCAAAGCAGUCACUGAUGCAGAUUGCUCAUGCAUGCUAACAUGGCAGCCAAGGUCAGGAGGAGUCGCUAACUGGCUGCUCCCAGUUCAGCCGCCGACAACGAAGAUAGUGACAGCGGGGAGGGCGGAGAAAACAAGAGAGAGAGAGAGAGAGAGGAUGAUAUGCAACACAGAGCCCAGGCUGCUGAGGCAUCAUAAUUAGAGAGUGAGCAGAUAGACAGUAAACACGGGGAGUAAGGAGCAUGACAUGACAACAAAGAUGCUAUCAUAACACCGGAGCAGCAAACCACUGAUAUGCUCACAUUUAUACGAUAUUUAGCAUAUUAACAUUUUCUACAAUAGCUGUCAUAACAUGUUCACGUUACAUGUUUAUUACCAGACGUUCGUAUCAGGAGAGGGGGAAGUGAAUGCUGCUCAAGACAGCGGAUCAACAUUUCUGAAGGUCAGAUCACCAGAUAUUUCUGAUGAGAGUCCACGGCUUCUCACUGCUUUUAAAUGUGUCACCACUGGAUAUUUAUUUAUGGAAACACAGAGACAAUUUCCUGCCGU